rnacentral:lncRNA from 1 species
ACAGGAUUUUUAUCUGUGGUAGCUUCAUCUCAGCAUCUAGAACAGGACCUGGCACAUCAAAGGAAGUCAAUACUUGUUGAAUGAAUGAACAAUGGAAAAAAUUGUUGAACACAAAUGGACUAUAGCUUCUUCUGUUUUCUAAGAAGGAGGGGUGAUGGCAACACAGUUUAUCCUUCCAAAGGAAGGAACAGCUGACACCACCAGCUAUUUCCCAACGUGCAGACUUGAAGCCCCCAAAGAGGAUAGGGCCUCCAGAAGCUCCACUUACGUCUGGACCUUGUGCUCCAAAGCAAACACAACCUAUCCGAUGGGUGGUGCAGAAAUAAGCUGAUGCAGCUUUCAUUGACCUUUCAGACUUGACCUUUCUCCUAUAAUCUCUAAUCUUGUUUUUAAUAAAUAUUUAACUUCUUG